UGGCGCUGCGCAGCUUGACGCGCCUCUCUGCGGCAACUAGCACGCAGACGUCCGUCAUUGGCUGAGCGUGGAUCUGAGCAGGUGCACGAGAGGGGGAGGGACGGAGAGAGAGAGAGAGAGAGAGAGAGAGAGAGAGAGAGAGAGAGAGUCCGAAACACAGAGGCUCGGAGUGAAUCUCAGCUCGGUGUGAUCUGCCUGCUUCAGUCCUGUUUGGCUCAGAUGAUACAGGAUCUGUGCAUCCCGCUCGUGCCCUUCAGCGGGGAGCUCGGUGGUGUGAGCGCAAGGUACAGAUCGGACACACAACACACAUCACAUCACAUCAGUGUGGUGGUGGACGGGGCAGAUUCUCGGGAUAUCAACUUUCUAAUCGAAUAAAGUGACCGGGACGGUUGGAAAAAACAGCUAAGAAACUAAAAGAAACUUCACCCUGCUGGUCUCACUGAGAAGCCCUCUGAUACAGUCCAGAGAGAUGCCAGGAGAACGGGCAGGAUGAGCGGCUGCAUCUUAGAGCGUCUCUGCUUCGACCGAGUGAAGACAACACAAGGACUUGUUUUUUACCGAUCUGAUCGCAUUCUUGCAGGGGGUCUUAUACUUAUC